GGUUAAGCGACUAAGCGUACACGGUGGAUGCCCUGGCAGUCAGAGGCGAUGAAGGACGUGCUAAUCUGCGAAAAGCGUCGGUAAGGUGAUAUGAACCGUUACAGCCGGCGAUGUCCGAAUGGGGAAACCCAGUGCAAUUCGUUGCACUAUCGUUAACUGAAUACAUAGGUUAACGAGGCGAACCGGGGGAACUGAAACAUCUAAGUACCCCGAGGAAAAGAAAUCAACCGAGAUUCCCCCAGUAGCGGCGAGCGAACGGGGAGCAGCCCGGAGUCUGAAUCAGCUUGUGUGUUAGUGGAAGCGUCUGGAAAGUCGCAGGGUACAGGGUGAUACUCCCGUACACUAAAACACACAGGCUGUGAACUCGAAGAGUAGGGCGGGACACGUGGUAUCCUGUCUGAAUAUGGGGGGACCAUCCUCCAAGGCUAAAUACUCCUGACUGACCGAUAGUGAACCAGUACCGUGAGGGAAAGGCGAAAAGAACCCCGGCGAGGGGAGUGAAAAAGAACCUGAAACCGUGUACGUACAAGCAGUAGGAGCCCACUAGUUGGGUGACUGCGUACCUUUUGUAUAAUGGGUCAGCGACUUAUAUUCUGUAGCAAGGUUAACCGAAUAGGGGAGCCGCAGGGAAACCGAGUCUUAACUGGGCGUUAAGUUGCAGGGUAUAGACCCGAAACCCGGUGAUCUAGCCAUGGGCAGGUUGAAGGUUGGGUAACACUAACUGGAGGACCGAACCGACUAAUGUUGAAAAAUUAGCGGAUGACUUGUGGCUGGGGGUGAAAGGCCAAUCAAACCGGGAGAUAGCUGGUUCUCCCCGAAAGCUAUUUAGGUAGCGCCUCGUGAACUCAUCUUCGGGGGUAGAGCACUGUUUCGGCUAGGGGGUCAUCCCGACUUACCAACCCGAUGCAAACUACGAAUACCGAAGAAUGUUAUCACGGGAGACACACGGCGGGUGCUAACGUCCGUCGUGAAGAGGGAAACAACCCAGACCGCCAGCUAAGGUCCCAAAGUCAUGGUUAAGUGGGAAACGAUGUGGGAAGGCCCAGACAGCCAGGAUGUUGGCUUAGAAGCAGCCAUCAUUUAAAGAAAGCGUAAUAGCUCACUGGUCGAGUCGGCCUGCGCGGAAGAUGUAACGGGGCUAAACCAUGCACCGAAGCUGCGGCAGCGACACUAUGUGUUGUUGGGUAGGGGAGCGUUCUGUAAGCCGUUGAAGGUGGCCUGUGAGGGUUGCUGGAGGUAUCAGAAGUGCGAAUGCUGACAUAAGUAACGAUAAUGCGGGUGAAAAACCCGCACGCCGGAAGACCAAGGGUUCCUGUCCAACGUUAAUCGGGGCAGGGUGAGUCGACCCCUAAGGCGAGGCCGAAAGGCGUAGUCGAUGGGAAACAGGUUAAUAUUCCUGUACUUGGUGUUACUGCGAAGGGGGGACGGAGAAGGCUAUGUUGGCCGGGCGACGGUUGUCCCGGUUUAAGCAUGUAGGCGGAUGUUCCAGGUAAAUCCGGAACGUUACUAACGCUGAGGUGUGAUGACGAGGCACUACGGUGCUGAAGUGACAAAUGCCCUGCUUCCAGGAAAAGCCUCUAAGCAUCAGGUAACAUCAAAUCGUACCCCAAACCGACACAGGUGGUCAGGUAGAGAAUACCAAGGCGCUUGAGAGAACUCGGGUGAAGGAACUAGGCAAAAUGGUGCCGUAACUUCGGGAGAAGGCACGCUGAUGGUAAGUGAAGUGACUUGCUCAUGGAGCUGAAAUCAGUCGAAGAUACCAGCUGGCUGCAACUGUUUAUUAAAAACACAGCACUGUGCAAACACGAAAGUGGACGUAUACGGUGUGACGCCUGCCCGGUGCCGGAAGGUUAAUUGAUGGGGUUAUCCUCACGGAGAAGCUCUUGAUCGAAGCCCCGGUAAACGGCGGCCGUAACUAUAACGGUCCUAAGGUAGCGAAAUUCCUUGUCGGGUAAGUUCCGACCUGCACGAAUGGCGUAAUGAUGGCCAGGCUGUCUCCACCCGAGACUCAGUGAAAUUGAACUCGCUGUGAAGAUGCAGUGUACCCGCGGCAAGACGGAAAGACCCCGUGAACCUUUACUAUAGCUUGACACUGAACACUGGUCCUUGAUGUGUAGGAUAGGUGGGAGGCUUUGAAGUGUGGACGCCAGUCUGCAUGGAGCCAUCCUUGAAAUACCACCCUUUAAUGGCUGGUGUUCUAACGUGGGCCCGUGAUCCGGGUUGCGGACAGUGUCUGGUGGGUAGUUUGACUGGGGCGGUCUCCUCCUAAAGAGUAACGGAGGAGCACGAAGGUCAGCUAAUCCUGGUCGGACAUCAGGAGGUUAGUGCAAUGGCAUAAGCUGGCUUGACUGCGAGCGUGACGGCGCGAGCAGGUGCGAAAGCAGGUCAUAGUGAUCCGGUGGUUCUGAAUGGAAGGGCCAUCGCUCAACGGAUAAAAGGUACUCCGGGGAUAACAGGCUGAUACCGCCCAAGAGUUCAUAUCGACGGCGGUGUUUGGCACCUCGAUGUCGGCUCAUCACAUCCUGGGGCUGAAGUAGGUCCCAAGGGUAUGGCUGUUCGCCAUUUAAAGUGGUACGCGAGCUGGGUUUAGAACGUCGUGAGACAGUUCGGUCCCUAUCUGCCGUGGGCGCUGGAGAAUUGAGGGGGGCUGCUCCUAGUACGAGAGGACCGGAGUGGACGCAUCACUGGUGUUCGGGUUGUCAUGCCAAUGGCAUUGCCCGGUAGCUAAAUGCGGAAGAGAUAAGUGCUGAAAGCAUCUAAGCACGAAACUUGCCCCGAGAUGAGUUCUCCCUGACUCCUUGAGAGUCCUGAAGGAACGUUGAAGACGACGACGUUGAUAGGCCGGGUGUGUAAGCGCAGCGAUGCGUUGAGCUAACCGGUACUAAUGAACCGUGAGGCUUAACCUU
rnacentral:rRNA from 1 species